rnacentral:rRNA from 1 species
AGGACGAACGCUGGCGGCGUGCUUAACACAUGCAAGUCGAGCGAGGCCCUCUCUUCGGAGAGGUGCCCUAGCGGCGAACGGGUGAGUAACACGUGGGCAACCUGCCCCUAGCACUGGGAUAAGCCCGGGAAACCGGGUCUAAUACCGGACAUGACCUGCUGCGGCAUCGCGGUGGGUGGAAAGUUUUCGGCCAGGGUGGGGCUCGCGGCCUAUCAGCUUGUUGGGGGGUGACGGCCCACCAAGGCGACGACGGGUAGCCGGCCUGAGAGGGCGACCGGCCACACUGGGACUGAGACACGGCCCAGACUCCUACGGGAGGCAGCAGUGGGGAAUAUUGCGCAAUGGGCGGAAGCCUGACGCAGCGACGCCGCGUGCGGGAUGAAGGCCUUCGGGUUGUAACCGCUUUCACCAGGGGCGAAGCGAGAGUGACGGUACCUGGGGAAGAAGCGCCGGCUAACUACGUGCCAGCAGCCGC